rnacentral:lncRNA from 10 species
ACAGAGAUCAGAAUGUUUUUGCCACAAAGUUGAUUCAGAAAUAACCCCAAGUUUCAUGUUGUCCAGGCUGAAGUGCAGUGGCAUGAUCAUGGAUCACUGCAGCCUCGACCUCCUGGGCUCAUGCAAUUCUCCCUCCUCAGCCUCCCGAAUAGAUGGGACCACAGGCACACACCAUACCUGGCUCCUGGCUUUUUUUCUUCCUCCUUUAAGUUGUUUACUGGUUUUCUGAUUUGUAUAAACUUUCUAUUUCGCAUCAUAGACUUUCCUCAGGCAUCAGGACAUCCAUAAUUCUUUAUUUAUAAAUAAAAAAGAUGAAAUCAGCUGCUAUUUGGAAGUUCUGAGCCAGAGAUGGGUUUUCUGAACAUUGAGCUUGGUCAUGAGAUGGAUUGUUUGCUGUGGAGGACACAAUGUCAUGUCUUUAUUUUUUCUCUUUGGCAGUUGAGAUUUUUCAUAAAACUGUCAUCUCAUCUUUGUCUGAAAAGUAGGAAUUCAUCUAACUGUGCCCUGGGACUAGCUCUGGAAAGACCACUAGCAGCCAGCAUCUGGUGUGCAGAGGUUGGUCUGCUUCUCAUUUGCAAAAUGGCAGCUGUGCCCUCAGCCUCGGUGGCUUCUGCCUGUCUGAGAACCUCCGUGACUCCCUCUCACAGAGUCAACCUGAGCAUAUUGGAGUGAAACAGAACAGGUGCAGCCACUGGAUACCUGGAGAUGGCGAAAACAAUCUGGGGGCUGAACGGCUUCACAGGAAGAGUCCAUGUUCUUGUCCUAGUCAGGGUUCUGCAGAGAAGCAGAAGCCAUAUGAUGUGUCUGUGCGGGCAUGCGUGUGAGUGUGUAUAUGUAAUAAGGGAUUGGCUCUCAUGACCAUGGAGGAGACCAUGUCAUCUGCAGUCAGCAACGUGAAGACCCAGGAGAGCCAAUGAUUUAGGUCCAGUCUGAGUCUGAAGGCCCAAAGACCAGGAGAGCUGAUGGUUUUGUUCUAGUCCAAAGGCUGGCAAACUCAAGACAUAAGAUCCAGUAUUUCAGUUCAAGUCAAAGGCUGAAAAGUGCUGACAUCCCAGUUUAAAGGCCAUCAGUUAACAGAGAUCGCCCUUAAUUGCGGAGAUGUCAGCCCUUUAUUCAUAUUUAGGUAUUCAGCUGGUUAGAUGAGGCCCACCUGCAUCAGGGAGGCCAGCAUGCUUUACUCGGUCCGCCAACUUAAAUGUUAACCGCAUCUAAAAACACCCACCCUGGCACCUCCAGAAUAAUGAACGUUUGACCAAAUAUCUGGGCAUCCUGUGGCCCAGCCAAGCUGACACAUAAUUAACCCUCACAGUCUACCUCUUCGAUGCAGUCCUAUUUUUCAUCCCGAAUUCCAACAGCACUGGGGGUCCCUGCACCUUUUGAGAAUCUGCAUGUAUUUAUUUAUGUAUGUAUUUGUUUGUUUUUUUGUUUUCUGAGACAGAGUCUCACUCUGUCACCCCAGCUGGAGUGCAGUGGUGCAUGGCUUACUGCAGCCUGACCUCUCAGGCUCAAGCUAUGCUCCCACUUCAGCUUCCUAAGUAGCUGGGACCAAAGGCAUGCAUCACCAUGCCCACCUAAUUUUUUUAUAAUUUUUGUAGAGACAGGGUCUUGCCAUGUUGCCUACGCUGGUCUUGAAUUCCUGGGCUUGAGCGAUCCACCCACCUUGGCCUCCCAAAGUCCCUGGAUUACAGGUGUGAGCCAACGUGCCCAGGCUUGAGGAUCUGCAUUUAAAUCACAUUGUUUUCCAUCUUCCCUCACCAUGAGCUUGUGGUGCCUAUUUGGAUCUGCUAGAUGAAUUUCUACUCAACUGUUUUAUUUCCAGAUUACAAUAUUGUUGAAUGGCUUUCUGCUCCCCUGAUGGUCACCUCUUUGUGGGUUUGCAUAUUUAUUUUUAAAUGCCUUUGCCAUGGUACUGAGGACUUGGAAGAAGGAUCUAUUAGACACAUUCAAUCUAUUUCCACUUUCUGAACUCUAAAGUGUCUUUACUUAAUAAACAUAGUAACUUGCUCAUUCAACGUAUGAAGGUUAAAUUAAGAUGUAAUAUUAUUUUAUCUCUGCUGUAUGUGCUCAAGAGAUAUUUAAUUAAUGGAAUUUUGUGUAUGCACGUAUCUUAAUUAACACAGGUAUGAAUUAUGUGUGCUUACCUCUACCUAUAAAUAUCAAUGCAUUUGAGUAUAUGUGUAAUAUGUGGUAAUAUUCUUUUACAUAAGUUGGUAAGUGUACCUACCAUCAUUCCCUUGGAAAACUGAUGGCUAAAAUACUAUAAAAGAUAAGUAUGUUUAAGUAGUUAUAAGCAAAGUACAUAUGUAUAUAUAUGUAGAAUAAAUAUUGUAUUUUUCUGUUAGAAUUGAAAAUCUUAGGUUGUACUAGAGUCCUUCAAUUUUUAUGCUAAGUAUUGGUUGUAACCUGAAUAUGAUAGUAGUUAGCAUGAACGCUGAAAUCAUAGUUUUGCCAUUUGAAAUAUGACUGAGUGAGGUAAUAGUGUUCUUUGGUGAGCAUUUUGAGUUUUGUGCUUCACAUCUGUAAACUGAUAAAAUCCUAUUAUGCCUUCCAGCUGUGAUGCUUAUACCGUGGGCUGCAGAAUUAUAAGAUUAAACAUUCUACAUAAGCAUUAAGAAUCGUCUGCACCUCUGCAGGGCUAUCCUAAGUUGUUAUUAACUUCAGACAUCUUUUCUCACCCAAAGCAAGCUCACACAUCUUGGAAAGUGCUUGUCAUUUUCAUUUGUCUUAUUUUUACUGUCCACCUUCUUUGUACCUCUGUACCUCCCUAUGUGAAACUAUUUCUGGUUAUGGAUCCUCUUCUAGAAUUAGUUGAUUAAAUUAUAGACUCUUAUUCUGAAUUCCUUGACUACUGUCAAAACAUAUUUGUGUCAAGGUUUCAAUCCCUGUCAUCAUCUGAGAAGCCUUGAUUAGUUCACGUUGCAGACUUUCUGUUUAUAAUGAGAGCAUUUCUUAGCAUCUUGACCUUUCAGAUCAUUUAUAUCAAAACUAAUAUUCCAGGGCUUUAUGUUUUAAUGAAUAUACAGUUGUCAACACUUUUCAUCUUCUUUUUAUACUCUAAAUCAUGCUACUUUCAGUAAGCUAUUUCUUUCUAAUUAUUUUUUAUGUUCAGAUGGUAAAAAAUAAUGGAAUUACUUACAGUUUUAUUAUUGAUACAUAGGAUUUGGUUUGCAAAUGUAUAAUAUGCAAUGACAAUGUAUGGUAAUAUAAACUAUAUGUAAGUUACGAAGCAUAAUGAUGGAAGAUGUAUUCAUGAACUCAUCAUACAAAUUAAGAAAUAAAAUAUUUGUUAUAUCACUAAACUACCCACGUGCUCCUUUUCAAAUCCUAUCCUCUCGUCUUAACUGGAGAAGACAGCAUGAUCUUGGAUUUUGUUGUUGUUG